AUUGAACGCUGGCGGCAUGCCUUACACAUGCGAGUCGAGCGGUAACAGGCCUUCUGGUGCUGACGUGUGGGGCGCGGGGGAGUGAUGCAUCUAAAAGUACCCCUAGGUGGGGGGUAAAACAGCGAAAACUGUGCUCUAAUCCCAUAUGAGCUGUGAGUGAGAGCGGGGGAGCGCGUCGCAAUUUUUGCCCUCGCACCAUUCUAGGUGCGAUUAGCUAGUUGGUGGGGUAAAGGCCUACCAAGGCGACGAUCCGUAACUGGUUUGAGAGGAUGAUCAGUCACACUGGAACUGAGACACGGUCCAGACUCCUACGGGAGGCAGCAGUGGGGAAUAUUGGACAAUGGGCGAAAGCCUGAUCCAGCCAUGCCGCGUGUGUGAAGAAGGUCUUCGGAUUGUAAAGCGCUUUUAGUAGGGAGGAAGCGCAGUAAGUUAAUACCUUGCUGUAAUGACGUUACCAACAGAAUAAGCACCGGCUAACUUCGUG
rnacentral:rRNA from 1 species